rnacentral:rRNA from 1 species
GACGAACGCUGGCGGCGUGCCUAACACAUGCAAGUCAGGGAUUGAAUGAAGGGUAGCAAUACUUUUUUAUUCAGUACCGGCGCACGGGUGAGUAACACGUAGGUAAUCUACCCUCAGGCGGGGAACAACAUCGAGAAAUCGGUGCUAAUACCGCAUGACGCAACGAGACCACAUGAUCUUGUUGUUAAAGAUCCGCAAGGAUCACCCGAGGAUGAACCUGCGCCCGAUUAGCUAGUUGGCGGAGUAAUAGCCCACCAAGGCAACGAUCGGUAGCCGACCUGAGAGGGUGAUCGGCCACACUGGAACUGAGACACGGUCCAGACUCCCACGGGAGGCAGCAGUGAGGAAUAUUGCGCAAUGGAGGCAACUCUGACGCAGCCAUGCCGCGUG